UACGUAGGGUGCAAGCGUUAAUCGGAAUUACUGGGCGUAAAGCGUGCGCAGGCGGUGAUGUAAGACAGAUGUGAAAUCCCCGGGCUCAACCUGGGAACUGCAUUUGUGACUGCAUCGCUGGAGUGCGGCAGAGGGGGAUGGAAUUCCGCGUGUAGCAGUGAAAUGCGUAGAUAUCGUAAGGAAGACCAGUGGCGAAGGCGAAUCUCUGGACAGUUACUGACGCUGAGGCACGAAGGCCAGGGGAGCAAACGGG
rnacentral:rRNA from 1 species